rnacentral:rRNA from 1 species
GAUGAACGCUGGCGGCGUGCCUAAUACAUGCAAGUCGAGCGAACGGACGCGAAUCUUGCUUCUCUGAUGUUAGCGGCGGACGGGAGAGUAACACGUGGAGCACCUACCUAUAAGACUGGUAUAACUUAGUGAAACCAGUGCUAAUACGGGAUAAUAUUUUCAACCGGGUGGUUGAAAAGUUAAAGAGGGUCUUGCUGUCACUUAUAGAUGUAUCCGGGCUGCUUUGGCUAGUUGGUAAGGUAACGGCUUACCAAGGCAACGAUGCAUAGCCGACCUGAGAGGGUGAUGGGCGACAGUGGGAGUGAGACGCGGCACAGACUCCUACGGGCGGCCGCGGUAGGGAAGCUUGCGCAAUGUGCGAAAGCCUGACGGAGCAACGGCGGGCGAGUGAUGAAGGUCUGCGGAUCGUAAAACUCUGUUAGUAGGGAAGAACAUAUGUGUAAGUAACUGUGCACAUCUUGACGGUACCUAAUCAGAAAGCACCGGCUAACUACGUG